CGCUAGGAAGCUAAACUUGGGCCUUAAGCGUUAGCCUUUUAAGCUAAAGAUUGGUGACUCCCUACCACCCCUAGUGA